rnacentral:rRNA from 1 species
CUGUCAGUUCGAACGGCAGCGCGAGGAGCUUGCUCCUUGGCGGCGAGUGGCGGACGGGUGAGUAACGCGUAGGAAUCUGCCUAAUAGUGGGGGAUAACCCGGGGAAACUCGGGCUAAUACCGCAUAAUCUCUUCGGAGCAAAGUGGGGGACCUUCGGGCCUUACGCUAUUAGAUGAGCCUGCGUCGGAUUAGCUUGUUGGUGGGGUAAAGGCCUACCAAGGCAACGAUCCGUAGCUGGUCUGAGAGGAUGAUCAGCCACACUGGGACUGAGACACGGCCCAGACUCCUACGGGAGGCAGCAGUGGGGAAUAUUGGACAAUGGGGGAAACCCUGAUCCAGCAAUGCUGCGUGUGUGAAGAAGGCCUUCGGGUUGUAAAGCACUUUCAGCGGGGAAGAAAAAACAAAGGGUAAUAUCCUUUGGAAUUGACGUUACCCGCAGAAGAAGCACUGGCUAACUCUGUGCCAGCAGCCGCGGUAAUACAGAGAGUGCAAGCGUUAAUCGGAAUUACUGGGCGUAAAGCGCACGUAGGUGGAUACUUAAGUCGGAUGUGAAAGCCCUGGGCUUAACCUAGGAAUUGCACCCGAUACUGGGUAUCUAGAGUAUGGUAGAAGGGUAGUGGGAAUUUCCGGGGGUAGCGGUGAAAUGCGUAGAUAUCGGAAAGAACAUCAAGUGGCGAAGGCGGCUACCUGGACCAAUACUGACACUGAGGUGCGAAAGCGUGGGGAGCAAACAGGAUUAGAGACCCUGGUAGUCCACGCCGUCACGAUGAGAACUGGCCUGUUGGGAGGGACUCCUCUUAGUAGCGAAGCUAACGCGUAAGAUCUCCGCCUGGGAGUACGGCCGCGAAGUUAAACUCAAAAGGAAAUUGUACCGGGGGGCCCGCCACAAACACGGUGUGGGAAC